GUGCUCGGGUGGCGAACGGGUGAGUAACACGUGAGUAACCUGCCCUUGACUUUGGGAUAACUUCAGGAAACUGGGGCUAAUACCGGAUAGGAGCUCCUGCUGCAUGGUGGGGGUUGGAAAGUUUCGGCGGUUGGGGAUGGACUCGCGGCUUAUCAGCUUGUUGGUGGGGUAGUGGCUUACCAAGGCUUUGACGGGUAGCCGGCCUGAGAGGGUGACCGGCCACAUUGGGACUGAGAUACGGCCCAG
rnacentral:rRNA from 1 species